UUCAAAUAAUUUAUGUAAAUAUUCUUCCCUCAAAGAAGAAGAGCCUAACUUUAUACUCCUUAUGUAUGCACUGCGUAUAGUAACUUCUCCCAAUGAGUAUGGUAUGGAAAAGGCACUAGAGGAUAAACUUAACAGUAGAGAAACCUGACAAAUGCUACGUCAUCCAGUCUAAUCAUGAAAAACACAGCAGCACAUUCCACUGGAGGAGCGUUGUACAAAUAUCUGUUCGGGACUCCUUAUAACUGCCAAAGGCAUCAGAAUAAGAAGUCUCAGAAACAGCCUGAACCUAGAGAAGCCCAAGGAGACAAGACUGCUAAAUACAAUGUAAUAUUUUGAAUGAAAUCUGGAACAGAAAAAAGACAUUCAGUUAAAACUGAGGAAAUAUGAUUAAAAUCUGGUCUUUUGUUAAUAAUAA